CACCUUUGACAUGUACGGAAUCCUUUAGAGAUAGAGGAGUGCUCGAAAGAGAGCCGUAACACAGGUGCUGCAUGGCUGUCGUCAGCUCGUGUCGUGAGAUGUUGGGUUAAGUCCCGCAACGAGCGCAACCCUUGCCAUUAGUUGCUACGAAAGGGCACUCUAAUGGGACUGCCGGUGACAAACCGGAGGAAGGUGGGGAUGACGUCAAGUCCUCAUGGCCCUUAUAGGUGGGGCUA
rnacentral:rRNA from 1 species